GAGUAAGUGUUCUUAUCUAAAAUUAAAAAAAAAAAUAAAAUAAAUAGAAUAAAGUAUUCAAAGGGUACCACCACUCCAAUUGCAUCAAGCCACCUUGGACAAAGUAUCCAAAUUGUGGUUGCCUUAAUACACUAAAACAUUGCUGUACAUAAUGUAAUUAUAAAUCUAUCAGUCUGCAUGGAUGCAAACUGUGUGUGACAAAUCGUCUUUGAAAUGGUCAAUUUCAACUGUACAUUUCUCAUCCAAGUUGUAUUCUAGCCUCUGGUUUAAUGUGGACAGAUAUUCCGUCUAUCAUCCAUUCCACAGCCCAAGUUUGGACUUAACCCACUGCCAUAGAUGUUGUUAAAAGUCAGAUGUGGAAAUUUCAAAAAGUAUUCUCAAUUUCCUCCCUUACGCCUCCCCUUCUUCAAGACAUCAAAUGCCUGGCAUCAUAGCUUAUAUAAAGAGAGACACAUUUUCUAAGGGGAAUUAGGAUAUCUGGUUUACCUCAGAAUUAAGAUUCUUUACAGAAAGUUGAGACCAGCUAAGAAACUGCAUUAUCACAUCAGAACACAGGAUCUCCUUCUCAGAGAGAGGUGGAUCUUUUGGGGGAACAUAGAGUGAAUAAGUGAGUAGUAUCUACUGAAGGAAAUUUGAAAGUCCCAAGUUAAUAUGCUUAUAAAUACACCACCGAGUCGUGGCACCAACAGUUGCUUGGAAUUACAGAGCCAUCCUGAUCUUCACUGUCGAAAUGGACUUCAUGUCAUUUGCAGCCUGCUCGGUCACUCUCUUAUACUUCUAGCAAUACACACAUUUAAAGGACUGUGCUUAUUUCAAGCUUUUAUCCUAGAUACUCAGUUUGUGACCUGGGUUGACCUAUGGCAUUUCACACAAUUUGAACAGCAAAAUCUAAACAGCCAUUUCCAAUCUGUCACUCCCAAGCCAUGUCUGAGUAACUCCAAAGUCACAGGGAGGAAGGUAUAGAUCAGCCCCCUUCCCCCCAACCAUUGCUACGAAAGAGCAGCCAUUUCCAUUCCAAUUAAGCCAUAAAAGGGUUCUCUUCCUGAUGGACUUUAAAAAACCAUUUCUUUCCUCCUCCAUUCUUGUGGUGUAGAGUCUCCCAACCCAAUCUAUAAGCCUUCUUACAGAAGGCUUAUAGAAUCUAAACCUUCCUACAGAAGGCUCAUAGAAUCUAAACCUUCCUACAGAAGGCUUAUAGAAUCUAAACCUUCCUACAGAAGGCUUAUAGAAUCUAAACCUUCCUACAGAAGGCUCAUAGAAUCUAAACCUUCCUACAGAAGAGAGAAAUCUGGUGCUUAUUAAACCUCAAGAGACAUCCACCAUUUGAUUGGCAUUAACCUGUGAUCAGUGAUUAGCUCAAAAGACGUUUGGGUUAGAAUUUCCAAAAGAGUAAAAAGAUUCAGUAGAGAUACACUGGAUCUGCCACUUAACGCGUGAAUUGGGGUGUAUUGUUAUCUUUGAGUUAAAUGUGAGUCACACGGAAAUCCUUGCAUGCAAGCUCUGAGAACUGUCUGGAAGACUAGAGGACCAAAGAGUGUCACGGUGAACACCAGCUGACGAUGCAAGCGAGCCCAUCUGUGUACACGGUGGCUCCCUACUACCCAGUGACUUCCUCACUGCUGCAUCUUUUAUUUCUCUUGUUUUGCAUGAACCUGAUCGCCACAACUAUGUCUGUGUGCCCUAACCACACCCUUAACCUCUGCUUUGCCGCCCAGGCCCCUCCACGAAGCCAGUUGAAUUUCCACAUCCAAGUGGUUUUUACAGCCAGAAAGAGAACCCAGCUCUUGAUUCAAAGUAUGGAGGUUCUUAUCCACACAACACUGCCUUCUGGGGAUGCAUUUCUAUUCCGAGAGGGGUUGUUUAGCAACCUCAAGACCCCAUUUACAGACCUACAAAACGUUUUGUAAUGAUCCCUUGCUUUUAAUUUCAGUCCCCCCCCCCUUCUUUUUAGAAUACUCCUUCAGCAAGUAGGUAGAGACCCACUUACAGUAUAAGGAGACCAAUUAGAGAUGAGAAGGUAAACGUAGGUACAAAAGCUCCUUAGAGGUGCUGAUGGGUCUGUAAUCCACCUUACUAAGGGACUGGAAAGCCAUUUGCUUUUUUGACCCCCUCGUCUCAAAUAAGAGAAACAGAAGUUUAACUUCUUCCAAUAGCCUAGCUGUGGCUAUCAGCCAAGGAAGAAAGGUCAGAGGAAGGGAAAACAGGAGAGGUUGCUCUGUGACUUGGCAAGGCCAGGACUCAGCAGUCACUGGCAGCCUAGCAAAGGUGACUAAGGGCUGGCAGUAGAACGGUGUAUAAACUUGGCUGCCGUCUGAAGUGGGAGGCCAUGUUCAAUGGCAGUCCAAAUGUGUGUUCUGCACAUUGCUGUAUCUAUAAAUAUGAUAAGCAAGUGGUGACAGAAUUCUAGUAGAGGAUGAUGUAUCAUAAGCAGAUCAUAAAGGAUUUGGUAUUAAGACUUAAGUAGAAAAUCUUACUCCUGGCUCAUUACUCAACACUAUCCAGAUAAUGAGUUUGUGGAGUGCGCCUUGCCCUAUCACUAGGAAGGUUGACCUGGGAACUGUCUAAAAGUCUUUACAGAUAUUUCCAAAGCCUUUAAAUGCCAACUGUAGCAUAGAGGGGGAGUGGCGGGAGCUGAAAUGCCUCAAAAGCCAUUUAAGUGUUAUGUCUCGGGAUUUUCAGUCCUACUCAUUAUGUAAAAGUACAUAAAUAUAGACAUUUUUCUCAACACUACCCUAUCGUAUCACAAUGGUCCAAAUGCCAGCGCUUACAGAUAAUGUCAUCACAGUGCCUAGAAACUCAAACUGUAAUAUACCGUAGCAUCUUCUUGGUGUUUCUUCACGUUUCUUUCCACAAAGCAAGGCUCCCUCUGCCUCGUGUUUCUAAGAGAGUUCACCCCACUGAGGAGCCUGCCUUCCCUGUUGGACUCUGUCACUUGGGGGAACAGUCAUAGAAGCACAUAUCAACCAAGGAAGGAACUUCCUGGAUAUCUGUCUCCCACUUGCCCAGGUAUAAUAAACACUAAAGAGGGGAAAACCGAAGAGCUGCCAACUGGUCAAUCUGGAAGGGUAGUUCUGCCCUGGAUUGGUGUCUUUCUUUUUCUUCCUUUUUUAAAAAGAAAUCUAUUUCUUAAAUAAUAAUAAAUGCACAUGAUGUGUUAAAUAUGUACAUAUAUAUUUCAAAAAAUGGGCACAAGAUUGUCUUACAAGUCCUUCUGGCUAAUUUUUAGUUUGUAUUCAUAAGUGGUUUUUAAAAGCCUUUUUUAAAGUGUAAUUUGCAUGUUCUACUUUGAUUGUAUGUAAACAUAUUUUAGAACAAAAAUGUAUUUGUAUUUUAUUGAAUAUAGAGGCAAGAAAAUUGUACAUUGUUUGAAAUGUUCUUUUGUAACAGUUUUUAUUCAUAAAGCAUUUUUGUACAUUUAAAC
rnacentral:lncRNA from 1 species